rnacentral:rRNA from 1 species
UACGGGGGGGGCAAGCGUUGUUCGGAAUUACUGGGCGUAAAGGGCUCGUAGGUGGCCAACUAAGUCAGACGUGAAAUCCCUCGGCUUAACCGGGGAACUGCGUCUGAUACUGGAUGGCUUGAGUUUGGGAGAGGGAUGCGGAAUUCCAGGUGUAGCGGUGAAAUGCGUAGAUAUCUGGAGGAACUCCGGUGGCGAAGGCGGCUCGCUGGACCUCUUCUGACGCUGAGGCGCGAAAGCUAGGGGAGCAACGGG